GUAAACCCCGCCCACAGCGCGGGAGCAAGUGAUGCGCGGGCAAGCCCCAGCUGUCGGCGCUCCCGGCUUGCUCCGGAGUGGAUCCGGAUGCGAAGCCUCCGUGGAAACGCGCCUCGGGGCGGCAGGGCCCUGCGGGGAACGCGGCUCUCUCCGCUCUCCCGGCUGCGCUGGCCAGGCGGCUAAGUAUGGGGAGCUCCCGGGGCUUAGGCAUGGAUGUCAUUAGCCGCCGACUCGUAAGAAUGAAGUGCUAUCACAGAAGAGCUGCAAUAAGAUCCACAUGUUCCAGGAUCAUAAUCUAGCCAGGCUGCUUCCUUGCCUUCAGAAGGGAUUCAGUUCCAGCCAGCUGAGAGCAAAUGAAAAUUACCACGCGGUCAUUAUUCAGUGACAGUUGUGGAUUAGGACGCAGAUCUCAUACAAAGAACUUCGGAAUAUAUUAUGACUCCAAAGGCCCCUGUAAUGGCAAGGAAUUGAUUAGUUGUGAUAUGUUUGUAUCUCAUUCUCUACCAGUCACACCCAAUACUGAAGUCCCCUCAGCACUAAAAUGCUUUAACUAUUUUGGGCUCGACAUAGGGAUAUGGUGAUGAAAUGGUCUGUCAUCUAGAGAAAGUUGAGUAUAUAGUCUAAUGGUCCUCUGUGUGCCUAAGCUCUGUGAAGAUUUUGUUUCAGAAGGGCAGACGUAUUAUCAACCUGAUUGAAAGCCCACUGAAGUCAACGUGAAGAUUCCUGUCACCUCUGGAAUUUGGACUGGACUCCGAAGUCCGCAGAUAAAAGAGCACUGGUGGUGUCACUGGAGCAGAGCUGAAUGAAUCACAUUGUUGGCAGACUUGAUAGUGGCAAGUGAUCAGAAUUUCCAUUAAUUUUAUCUCUGAGACUAAUUUAUCUGUAGUUUUAAGUAAUUUAUGUGUUCCACUAAUUUAUUGUCUGGCUAGUCAGUUUGCUGCAGGUGUAAUUGUCUCCAUUCAAAAAGAAAGGACGGUAGCAAUUCCCACUUACACCUUCAAAAUACAACUGGAGCUGGAUUGUGGUUGUCCCCAUGGAAGGGGGACAUUUGCCCAGUUAGAGCUGGGUUGGUUUGCUGGAUAGAACUGACCUUUGGACAGCCAGGAGGAAGAACGGACCCAUAUUUCUAACAGAUGACUAACCAUUGGAGCAAACUGCCAGGGCUUCUCUUGACAUUCUCCACUACAGACUGGAUUCCUUUCUGGAAAGCUCCAGCCAAACACAAGUUCUCUGCAGUGGUGAGCUUUUGAAAUGUAAUGGUCUGUGAUAUACAGGAGGUCAGCCUAGAUGAUCUAAUGGCUUUCUCUGGCCUUAAACUCUGUGAAUCCAUAAAGCACGUCUUGCUGUAGCAGCUCGGUUCUAUUUUAUAAAUGUUAAUGAGUAAUUACAUUAGAUUGUCCACAAUCAUUGACGUUAAUCACUGUCCUUUUGCCAGGAAUAAUAAAAACAGGAAUUGAAUAGUUUAAACCAUAUGAGAGCAUCUCUCCAAACGACUUGCUCUGGGGCUCCUAUGGGAGCUGGGGGUUGGAAGGCUGUCAAGUGGAGGUAGUGCCAGAUGCUGGGCCUUCACAUGGGAACACUAGACUGCUUUUUGUGGUGUGAUUUGUGAGGGUGAGAGCC